rnacentral:rRNA from 1 species
AAAGAUGAUCAGGUUGAUAGGUCAGAGGUGGAAGCGUGGUGACAUGUGGAGCUGACUGAUACUAAUCGAUCGAGGACUUAACCAAG